rnacentral:rRNA from 1 species
CGCGGCCUAUCAGCUUGUUGGUGGGGUAAUGGCUCACCAAGGCGACGACGGGUAGCCGGCCUGAGAGGGUGACCGGCCACACUGGGACUGAGACACGGCCCAGACUCCUACGGGAGGCAGCGGUGGGGAAUAUUGCACAAUGGGCGAAAGCCUGAUGCAGCGACGCCGCGUGAGGGAUGACGGCCUUCGGGUUGUAAACCUCUUUCAGUAGGGAAGAAGCGAGAGUGACGGUACCUGCAGAAGAAGCGCCGGCUAACUACGUGCCAGCAGCCGCGGUAAUACGUAGGGCGCAAGCGUUGUCCGGAAUUAUUGGGCGUAAAGAGCUCGUAGGCGGUUUGUCGCGUCUGCUGUGAAAGCCCGGGGCUCAACCCCGGGUCCGCAGUGGGUACGGGCAGACUAGAGUGCAGUAGGGGAGACUGGAAUUCCUGGUGUAGCGGUGAAAUGCGCAGAUAUCAGGAGGAACACCGAUGGCGAAGGCAGGUCUCUGGGCUGUUACUGACGCUGAGGAGCGAAAGCAUGGGGAGCGAACAGGAUUAGAUACCCUGGUAGUCCAUGCCGUAAACGUUGGGCACUAGGUGUGGGGGACAUUCCACGUUUUCCGCGCCGUAGCUAACGCAUUAAGUGCCCCGCCUGGGGAGUACGG